CUCAUGCAGUGACCGCCACAUCCCCCUCCACCCCACUACCCCCUCAACAAUAAUAACCCACCCGCUUUGAGCAUCCAUCUGCCUCUCUUUGAGAAGAAGCCUCUCUUUGACAGUCGCUUGCAAGCAGCAAACGUGUUUUCCCCAAAGGAUUUAACAUCCGGUAAAACCCAGGAGGCAGCGAGUUUAGACCACAUCUAUAAACCAGUCGACAGGUUGCUGUUUUGCAAAUCAACUCCCCCAAAAUGUGGAAAAGUGAGAAGAAAACGGGUUCGGCUGCCAGACCAAGUUUCUCCAUUGUUCACCGAUAUAUUCAGCAUUUUAAUGAGGUGUCUGGCAGCAAGUCAGGUGACGUGAGAGAGCUUGUUUAUUCGCUACUAGACAAACAUAGAAGGUUUUUUGACGUUUCGAUGAACUGUUGUACUGUAUGCACAUAAUACAGAGACACAGUCAUUAUUAUGAAUAAUGGAAUAAAUAUUGAAUAAUACAUUAA
ensembl:lncRNA